rnacentral:lncRNA from 1 species
CCAGCUGACUCUGUUAUUGUUUCCUUCUUCUUUUCCUUUUUUUUUACUCUGCUUUUCCACUUCUGCCUUCAGCCUCUUGUACUUGUCUGUUCUGCAAACCAGGACCCAGGUAAUGCCCUCCGCCAGGAGAGCCUUGCGCACGGAGAUAAAACGAUGAGAGUGUCUGGAAACAUGAUGCUCAUCUCACACCUCCGUCCCCACACUCCCACCGGCCAGGGGGAAACUGCUCAAGAGGAAGGAAAAGAUAAGUGUAAAGGACUUCCUCCUGGAUCCUGCGACCACUGAGUAACACACCGACUUUGACAGACAGGAGAUGACACUCGAUGAUAACUAUGGCUCUUUAGGCCACCUAAUUUGGAAGGCAAAUUUCCCUGGGCUUGACUCAACAUGACAGAAUCCAUCUUUAAAGGUUCCCCGGCUUCCAAUAACACUAUUGUGGGGAUGAAGUCCUUGAGCCUUGGGGGACACUUAAGAUCCAAACGGUAGCACAUAAUGAGUGCUACACAUGAGUUGAUAAAAAUAUAGCUUCACAAUGAUGAUGACAAUAAUAAUGAUGAUGAUGAUAUGUUAGAAAUGGGUUUUCAUUUAGAACUUAUUGGCAUUCAGUAAAUGUGGGCUGGUUAAAAUAUUUUAGAAAGAUUCCUCAAUAUAAAAAUUCAAUCCAACAAACCUAAUUUUAAAAGGCAAAAGAUUUGACUAGACAUUUCUCUAAGGAAAAUAUUCAAAUAGACAAUACACACAGGAAAAGAUACUCAACAUCACUAAUCAUGGAGUAAAUGUAAACCAAAGCCACAAUAUAUCACUUUCCACCUGUUAGGAAGGGAUAGUAUUGUGAGACCAAAAGUGACUCCAUUUUGUGAAUGUGGGACCAGAAUGACUCCAUUUUGUCCAAAAUGGAGCAGUCUCCUUUAUUCUUUCAAAUUAAUGAUUAAAUGUGCUUAAUCUGGGACAAAAGACAUGAUCUGUAACUCAAGAUUCCUAAGCUCAUUACUCAGCCAUCUGUUUGCCCUAGAAACAAGUGUCCCGGGCCCACUAUCUAUAGGACAAUCUGUUAACGUGCUGACUAUCCACACAAGGUGGUCAUGACCAUGAGUCAAGAUGUCUGCUGACCAUCAGUACGUGACAGUAGACCACUAACCUUUGUCCCCAUUCUUCUUGUAAAAACCUAUACGUAAUCCCCUUCAACCCCCAAUGAGCCUAGCCAAUCAAAAUUCUACACUUCAUACUUGCUAAAUGUUAACCAAUCAUAUGGCUGCUAAUGACUGAAGCUUGCUGUAAUCUCAAUAAAAACCCUGCUAAUUUGGAACUCGGGGCUCUCAAUCUCGAUCCGCUGUGUCGGUGACAAUUGAGAGUCCCUGCUUAAGCUUGAAUAAACGACCCUCGUGUGCUUACAUCGGAAACGGCCUCCUGGUGGUCUUUGGGACUUUGUAAUCUGGGCACAACAGUAUGUAUACAAAACAUUUUUUAAAAACAACCAAGGGUUGGUAAGGAUGUGGAGAAAUAAAAAUGCCUUGUAUUCUACAGGUGGCAAGGAAAAUGGUGCAGCCAUUGUGAAAAAUAGUAUGAUGGUUCUUCAAAAAAAAAAUUAAACAUAGAACUAUCAUGUGAUUCUGCAACUGAAUUUCUGGUUAUAUGGCCAAAAGUGUUGAACGGAGAAACUCCAACACAUGUUUACAUACCCAUAUUCAUAGUAGAUUUAUUCUCAAUAAGCUAUAAGUUGUUAUCAUAAAUAACAAGGUGUUAUAAACAUACAGUGAGUGACAUAUUAUUCAGGCUUGGGAAUUGUUAUGGCUUCUAUUUAGAUAUCCCCCCAAAGCCUCAUGUGCUCCUAUGUGAAGUUUUUUAGAGCCGGCAGGAUCUAGGGUGUGUGAUACUGGGAUUAAGGGUGUGUGGUACAAAAUUAGUCCACUGAUUGGAAUUAGCAUAGUUCUGGAUGCCACCACUCAACUGAAACCUCUACAAACUGUGAGCUGAAAAAAUUCUUUCCUUCUUCAACUUUGAGUGUCCGGUAUUUUUUCUCAGCAACUAGAAAAGUAACCAAGACAGGAAUUAAUGAAAUUCUGACAUACGCUACAACAUGGAUGAACUUUGAAGCCAUUAUGCAAAGUGAAAUGUGCAAGACAUAAAGGUACAAAUACUGUAUGAUUCCAUGUACGUGGUAGUCAAAUUCACAGAGACAGAAA